rnacentral:rRNA from 1 species
AAUGAACGCUGGCGGCGUGCCUAAUACAUGCAAGUCGAGCGAACGGACGAGAAGCUUGCUUCUCUGAUGUUGGCGGCGGACGGGUGAGUAACACGUGGAUAACCUACCUCUAGGACUGGGAUAACUUCGGGAAACCGUAGCUAAUACCGGAUCAUAUUUUGAACCGCAUGGUUCAAAAGUGAUAGACGGUCUUGCUGUCACUUAUAGCUGGAUCCGCGCUGCCUUAGCUAGUUGGUAAGGUAACGGCUUACCAAGGCAACGAUGCAUAACCGACCUGAGAGGGUGAUCGGCCACACUGGAACUGAGACACGGUCCAGACUCCUACGGGAGGCAGCAGUAGGGAAUCUUCCGCAAUGGGCGAAAGCCUGACGGAGCAACGCCGCGUGAGUGAUGAAGGUCUUCGGAUCGUAAAACUCUGUUAUUAGGGAAGAACAUAUGUGUAAGUAACUGUGCCCAUCUUGACGGUACCUAAUCAGAAAGCCACGGCUAACUACGUG